ensembl:snRNA U6 U6 spliceosomal RNA
GUGCUCGCUUCGGUAGCACUUAUACUAAAAUUGGAACGAUACAGAGAAGAUUAGCAUGGUCCCUGCGCAAGGAUGACAUGCAAAUUUGUGAAGCAUUCCAUUAAAAA